AUUGAACGCUGGCGGCAUGCCUUACACAUGCAAGUCGAACGGUAACAGGCCUACGGGUGCUGACGAGUGGUGAACGGGUGAGUAAUGCUUCGGAACGGGCAAAGAGGCGGGGGAUAACGCAGCGAAAGCUGUGCUAAUACCGCAUGUCAUCUGAGGAUGAAAGCGGGGGACCAAACAGCAAUGUUUGGCCUCGCGCCUCUGGAGCGGCCGAUGUCAGAUUAGGUAGUUGGUGUGGUAAAGGCUUACCAAGCCGACGAUCUGUAGCUGGUCUGAGAGGACGACCAGCCACACUGGGACUGAGACACGGCCCAGACUCCUACGGGAGGCAGCAGUGGGGAAUCUUCGACAAUGGGCGCAAGCCUGAUGCAGCAAUGCCGCGUGCGGGAAGAAGGUCUUCGGGUUGUAAAACGCUUUUGUAAGGAACGAAAAGGCGCUGGCGAAUACCUGGGGGUGUUGACGGUACCGUAAGAGUAAGCCACGGCUAACUACGUG
rnacentral:rRNA from 1 species